GGCCAGACUCCUACGGGAGGCAGCAGUGGGGAAUAUUGCACAAUGGGGGAAACCCUGAUGCAGCAACGCCGCGUGAGUGAAGAAGUAUUUCGGUAUGUAAAGCUCUAUCAGCAGGGAAGAAAAUGACGGUACCUGAGUAAGAAGCCCCGGCUAACUACGUGCCAGCAGCCGCGGUAAUACGUAGGGGGCAAGCGUUAUCCGGAUUUACUGGGUGUAAAGGGAGCGUAGACGGCGAUGCAAGUCUGAAGUGAAAGCCCGGGGCUCAACCCCGGGACUGCUUUGGAAACUGUAUGGCUGGAGUGCUGGAGAGGCAAGCGGAAUUCCUGGUGUAGCGGUGAAAUGCGUAGAUAUCAGGAGGAACACCGGUGGCGAAGGCGGGCUGCUGGACUGCGACUGACGUUGAGGCGCGAAAGCGUGGGGAGCAAACAGGAUUAGAUACCCUGGUAUC
rnacentral:rRNA from 1 species